GAUGAACGCUAGCGGCAGGCCUAAUACAUGCAAGUCGAACGGGAUCCAGAUCAAAGCUUGCUUUGGUCUGGUGAGAGUGGCGCACGGGUGCGUAACGCGUGAGCAACCUACCCUUGUCAGGGGGAUAGCCCGGCGAAAGUCGGAUUAAUACCGCAUGACAUCAUUGAGAGGCAUCUUUCGAUGAUCAAAGAUUUAUCGGACAAGGAUGGGCUCGCGUGACAUUAGCUAGUUGGUAAGGUAACGGCUUACCAAGGCUGCGAUGUCUAGGGGCUCUGAGGGGAGAAUCCCCCACACUGGUACUGAGACACGGACCAGACUCCUACGGGAGGCAGCAGUAAGGAAUAUUGGUCAAUGGACGGAAGUCUGAACCAGCCAUGCCGCGUGCAGGAGGACGGCCCUAUGGGUUGUAAACUGCUUUUAUACGGGAACAAACGUCGGUACGUGUACCGGUCUGAGUGUACCGUAAGAAUAAGGAUCGGCUAACUCCGUG
rnacentral:rRNA from 1 species